UGUUACACAGGUUCUCAAUCUGUGUAAGGUUUGUUGUUGUUGUUGAUAGGUGUCGUCGAGUAAUUUUUGACUCAUAGCAACCCUGUGCACAAAGAAACAAAGCACUGCCUCGUCCUGCGCCAUCCUCACAAUCGUUGCUAUGCUUGAGCCCAUUGUUGUGGCCACUGUGUCAAUCCAUCUCAUCGUGGGUCUUCCUGUUCAAUAAUGUGAUAAAAAGAGAGAAUGUCUAGCAGAGUAGCUAAUAACACAGGAGGCUCAAUAAGUAUUGAUUAAAAUAGUAGUUGACAUACCUUUAACGGUUUCAGGAAUAUGCACUAUGUGCCUUCUAUGUGCAAGGCCCUAGUGAGCACUCAAUAUAAAAUGGUUGACAAGUGGGAUUUAAAACUAUUCCUCAACAUAGCUGCUAUUUCUUGAGCAUGUCAAAGGCAAAACUAAGUCUGAGACAAAAGUAACAAAGGCUGUUUAUUUAUAAACUUGUGACCAUUGCUUUUGUUUCAGCAUGGACUCAAAGGGAUUAGAAAGGAGAGUGAAAUCUGCAGAGUAAAAAGAGGAAAUAUUGAGACAGUCUCUGAUCGGGAAGCAUUCUAUAGGGUGGCGCUUUUGGAAGGUGGGGAGAUUUUCUAAUUGGUCUUCAAGUAUAGGGUUGCCAUGAGUUGGAAUCAACUCAAUGGCAAUGGCUUUUGGCUUCAGCUAUAUUUGGGUGGCUGCAAACAGGCAAGUGAGCAGUUUGGGGACAUUUCAAAAGAGGAAGGAUUGUUCAAUGUUAAGGGUGGAGGAUUUUCUGUGGCUGGCCGUUUCCUGGAACAAGUGGGGGUCAUGGGGUGCUUUCUUGUGGUCAAACUGUCAUAAUGGUUCUUAUGGAGGGGGGCUGCCGUGGUAGGCAAUUCUCAAGCACCUAUUAUGUGCCAGGUUCCUUGCAUAUGUUAAAUCGUUUUCCUUAGCACACAGAUUGGGAAAGAGGGGCACUAUGGUUAUCUACAUUUAAAAAUGAGGAAACCAAAAGCACAGAGAGGUUAAAUAACUUGUCUAAACACACACAGCUGGUGAGUAGGAGAGUCGUGACUUGAAUUCCCUGUUGUAAACCCGUGUGUAAUGUUUCCUAGAAAAGGUGAUCUACAGAGAAAUAUGGGAAAGAAAGGACAUUGUUCUGUUACAUAAUAGAAGGCUAAGACAUAUGUGUGGUGGGGAGCCAUUUGUUCUUAUCAUUAAAAUCAUCAUCUCCACCGUCGUCAUCCCAUUAAACAAUACUUAUUAAGUGCCCUGACACCAUAUGCUGUGUGACGCCUUUGGGAUCCCAAGAGUGAGAAAGCAAUAGAUUUUUCUCAGUGAAGAGGAGAGUUUUGUGGUUUUUUGUUUGGUCAUGCAUUUUGUUCCCCUAUUUUAGGAUAAUUCAACUUUUUUUCCCCUUUGAUUGCUAUUGUUUCUAAAGGGGAGAAUGAAAACAACUGCAGAGCAAAACGUUUCUCCGUGUCAAUACUCUUUACUGUCAUUUCUCAGAAGUUCUAAAAAGAGAUUGGAAAGAAAAACUUGGCAGGGCAUCACUCAGAUUGUUUCCCGGAGAAAAUGAAAGAAGUCCAAUCUUGGAAACAACCACAGCCACAGUCACAACCCCAACUCCAAACUGAGGUUUCCAAGCUAUAAUUAGGGGCAUCCUAUGAGAGUCAGUAGCCAAUGACCACUACAGAAACUGCUUGAUGGAGUUGUUAUUGCCUUGUGAGUCUGAAAAGACUGCUGAAUCUCCAGUCCUGCCAGCAAUUUCCAAGGAUUCACCAGAGGCACCGGUUGGGUCUCUUGGCUCCUGCUUGACUGUUCUGACUUUGAACAGGUUUAUUCAGCUGCUGUCUGCUAAGCUCUACAGAAAAGCACAAUGGCUGCUGAUCGGCCUUUUAUGGUUUAUUGGAAACUGGUGGUCCGCACUGCAGCUCUGGUCAGUGAUUAACCCGCAAGAAAACAAACUACACAACGCUAAGUUGAUGUUGGAGGAGGAAUGAGCUCACUUCAUUAAGGCUUGAAGAGGAAACCUUUUCUUCUUCAGUGCUUGUUCAAAACUUUUCAGGUCUCUAUUUAAUCACGUAAUUCUCUCUAAGUAGCAAGAGAAGCCUGCUGCACAGCAAGUGGUCUUUUGCCACAUGACAACUUAGAAAGAUAAAUUAUAUAUAAAUAUCUUCAUGGUUUUGUGCGGAGAGGAAACGAAUUUUAGUAUUACUCUGUGAAACUAAUUUACUUGUUUCUUUACUAAAAGAAAUAGCUGGGUACACUCCAUGCUAUCUCAUGUGCACAAGUAUUGGUCUUAAUAUUUCUCCUGGGCUUCUCUUUCUUUGAUAGGGUGAUAGGGAAUUCAGGGGAAAGAUGCCUCCCUUCCUCCUCAUGAGUCUCAACAAGGAUAUGAAAGGGGCUGCAGGGAAGAGUGAGGGCAAAGCCUUAAAUAAUACAGAUUAUUGCAAAACUGAAUGCAAAUAAUUCUCUUUCUAGCUGGAGUAGAAGGUAGAACAGGAUCUGCGUGGCCUGAUUGUGUUUUGGGGAAGUAUUGCAUUUUCUAGAAUUAGCUAAUCUCUUUCUCUCUCUCUCUCACGCUCUAACAAUUAGCAACCUUAACCUUGUAGGUCAUGAAUAAAAAUCCUAGCAGAUUUAGAUGCCUCAGGUUUUGACAAUUCCUGGUUCUUGGGGUUUUCUCAGACUUGCAUUAGAACUCAGUAAGGACAUGUAAUAUGUUUGAAGGGAAGUGUGAAUGUCAAAGGAUUUCAGUGGUGCCUUCCAAUUCUGAAUUUAAGGAUGUAACUAAUCCUUGUUUUGAUCAAGUACAAACUGGGGUCCCUGUAGUAAUUUUUGGGAAAGCCUUAUCUUCUUCACUGGUACAUUUUUUUCUGUUAGAUCUGGGAAUCGGUACUUGAUUGCCUUCCAGUGCCCUCCUGCC